UACGAAGGGGGCUAGCGUUGCUCGGAAUCACUGGGCGUAAAGCGCACGUAGGUGGGUUUCUAAGUCAGGGGUGAAAUCCUGGAGCUCAACUCCAGAACUGCCUUUGAUACUGGAAAUCUUUGAGUCCGGGAGAGGUGGGUGGAACUGCGAGUGUAGAGGUGAAAUUCGUAGAUAUUCGCAAGAACACCAGUGGCGAAGGCGGCUCACUGGCCCGGUACUGACACUGAGGUGCGAAAGCGUGGGGAGCAAACAGG
rnacentral:rRNA from 1 species